rnacentral:rRNA from 1 species
UGGGGAAUUUUACACAAUGGGCGAAAGCCUGAUGUAGCAACGCCGCGUGGAGGAUGACGGAUUUAGGUCUGUAAACUCCUUUUAUAGGGGAAGAAAUUUGACGGUACCCUAUGAAUAAGCACCGGCUAACUCCGUGCCAGCAGCCGCGGUAAUACGGGGGGUGCAAGCGUUACUCGGAAUCACUGGGCGUAAAGGGAGCGUAGGCGUUCUAUUAAGUCUUGAGUGAAAGCCCGCAGCCUAACUGCGGAACUGCUCAGGAAACUGAUAGAAUUGAGUAUGGAAGAGGUAGGUGGAAUUUCCAGUGUAGGGGUAAAAUCCGUAGAUAUUGGAAGGAAUACCAGAAGCGAAGGCGACCUACUGGGACAUUACUGACGCUGAGGCUCGA